rnacentral:rRNA from 1 species
CGGUUAAAAAGCUCGUAGUUGGAUCUCGGCAAGUAGAGGGCGGUAUGCUUCGUAGCAUUACUGCCCUAUUACUUGUAGUUUUGCCAGAGGUUCCUGGGUGCUCUUAAUCGAGUGUCUAGGGAUGCUGGCAGGUUUACUUUGAAAAAAUUAGAGUGCUCAAAGCAGGCUAUUACGCUUGAAUAUUCGUGCAUGGAAUAAUAGAAUAGGAAGUUGUUUCUAUUUUGUUGGUUUUCGGAAAUCGACUUAAUGAUUAAUAGGGACAGUCGGGAGCAUUUGUAUUCAAACGACAGAGGUGAAAUUCUUGGACCGUUUGAAGACAAACUACUGCGAAAGCAUUUGCCAAGAAUGUUUUCAUUAAUCAAGAACGAAAGUUAGAGGUUCGAAGGCGAUUAGAUACCGCCCUAGUUCUAACCAUAAACGAUGCCAGCUAGCGAUCUGAGGACGUUUUUUUUGUAGACUCCUCAGGAAGCUUCCGGGAAACCAAAGCGUGUGGUUCCGGGGGAAGUAUGGUUGCCAAGCUGAAACUUAAAGGAAUUGACCGAAGGGCACCACC